rnacentral:rRNA from 1 species
CAAAAACAUCGCUUCUUGAUAUACCAUAAGAAGUCCCGCCUGCCCAGUGACAAGAUUCAACGGCCGCGGUACUCUGACCGUGCAAAGGUAGCACAAUCACUUGUUCUUUAAAUUAGGACUAGAAUCAAUGGCAUCACGAGGGCCUCACUGUCUCCUUUUUCCAAUCAGUGAAACUGAUCUCCCCGUGAAGAAGCGGGGAUAACCUUAUAAGACGAGAAGACCCCAUGGAGCUUCAAACUCAACAGCUACCCCAUUCAAGCUACACGAUAAUUUAAGGGAUUUAGCUCUUAGUUUUGGGUUGGGGUGACCACGGAGAAUAGCAAAACCUCCGCAAUGAAAGAAUUAAAAUUCUUAUCCAAGAGCAACACCUCUAAGAAUUAACAAAUUAACAUACAGUGAUCCGAUAUCUUUCGAUCAAUGAACCAAGUUACCCUGGGGAUAACAGCGCCAUCCACUUUGAGAGUUCAUAUCGACAAGUGGGUUUACGACCUCGAUGUUGGAUCAGGGUAUCCCAGUGGUGCAGCCGCUACUAAAGGUUCGUUUGUUCAACGAUUAAAACCCUACRUGAUCUGAKUUCAAACCGGA